CCUACGGGAGGCAGCAGUGGGGAAUAUUGCACAAUGGGGGAAACCCUGAUGCAGCGACGCCGCGUGAAUGAAGAAGUAUUUCGGUAUGUAAACUUCUAUCAGCAGGGAAGAAAAUGACGGUACCUGACUAAGAAGCCCCGGCUAACUACGUGCCAGCAGCCGCGGUAAUACGUAGGGGGCAAGCGUUAUCCGGAUUUACUGGGUGUAAAGGGAGCGUAGGCGGUUUAGCAAGUCUGAAGUGAAAGCCCGGGGCUCAACUCCGGGACUGCUUUUGAAACUGUUGAACUAGAGUGCAGGAGAGGUAAGUGGAAUUCCUAGUGUAGCGGUGAAAUGCGUAGAUAUUAGGAGGAACACCAGUGGCGAAGGCGGCUUACUGGACUGUAAAUGACGCUGAGGCUCGAAAGCGUGGGGAGCAAACAGGAUUAGAUACCCUUGUAGUC
rnacentral:rRNA from 1 species